ensembl:lncRNA
GCCAGCUCCUGAUGGAAAACACAUGUAGGAAGAAGUUGGUCCCACUGAAGCAGGAGAGCAAGGAGAGACAUCUUGAGUGUGCACUGAACCAGAAAUAUUUGGUUGACUUCAGCAAGAAAGAUAAAGACCAGCAACGUCCAGACCCAGCAUCAUCUGGUCUCAGAAAGUGCAAGAGAGAUGGAAUUGGACACACGCCAGUAAGAGAGCUUCCUGAGGAAUAAGUUGCUUUCUCAGGAGUCCCUGAUGACAAACAUCGUGAACGAAAACAGCACUUGAGAAACAACUUGGGGGACCACCUUUCAUUAUGUGUGCUAGAGGAGAAACAGCAAUACAUCUGUGCUUCUAAAUGUUCGUUAAGAAUAUGCUUUUAGAAAUAUUUUUGUUAUGAUUUUAAUUGAAGUUUUCUUUUUGUUGUUUCAUAUUUAUAUGUUCUUGUUACUAUUUUUACUUUCAAA